rnacentral:rRNA from 1 species
AUCCCAGCUCUGUAAGCGUAUACCAAAGUUGUUGCAGUUAAAACGCUCGUAGUCGGACGUUGGCGGGCGCCUCGAGUCGGCCUCACGGUCGAUCUUGUUGGCGACCGCCUUUGUGGAGGGGGGCUUAGGUCGGUGCUUUAUUGUCAUCCCUUUGUCGCUGCCACCGUUUACUGUGAAAAAAUUAGAGUGUUCAAAGCGGGCGUUUGCCAUGAAUACAUUAGCAUGGAAUAAUAGAAUAGGACCUGGUCCUGUUUUGUUGGUUUGUGAGUAUCAGGUAAUGAUUAAGAGGGACGGUUGGGGGCAUUUGUAUUCCGGCGUCAGAGGUGAAAUUCUUGGAUUGCCGGAAGACAAACAGCUGCGAAAGCGUCUGCCAAGGACGUUUUCAUCA